rnacentral:rRNA from 1 species
AAUAGAUACCCGGGUAGUCCACGCCGUAAACGAUGAGUGCUAAGUGUUAGAGGGUUUCCGCCCUUUAGUGCUGCAGCUAACGCAUUAAGCACUCCGCCUGGGGAGUACGGCCGCAAGGCUGAAACUCAAAGGAAUUGACGGGGGCCCGCACAAGCGGUGGAGCAUGUGGUUUAAUUCGAAGCAACGCGAAGAACCUUACCAGGUCUUGACAUCCUCUGCCAACCCUAGAGAUAGGGCGUUCCCCUUCGGGGGACAGAGUGACAGGUGGUGCAUGGUUGUCGUCAGCUCGUGUCGUGAGAUGUUGGGUUAAGUCCCGCAACGAGCGCAACCCUUGAUCUUAGUUGCCAGCAUUCAGUUGGGCACUCUAAGGUGACUGCCGGUGACAAACCGGAGGAAGGUGGGGAUGACGUCAAAUCAUCAUGCCCCUUAUGACCUGGGCUACACACGUGCUACAAUGGAUGGUACAAAAGAGCUGCGAACCCGCGAGGGUAAGCGAAUCUCAUAAAGCCAUUCUCAGUUCGGAUUGU